AAGAUGGCGACCGGCGCACGGGUGAGUAACACGUAUCCAACCUGCCGAUAACUCUGGAAUAGCCUUUCGAAAGAAAGAUUAAUACCCGAUGGCAUAGUUCUUCCGCAUGGUAGAACUAUUAAAGAAUUUCGGUCAUCGAUGGGGAUGCGUUCCAUUAGGUUGUUGGCGGGGUAACGGCCCACCAAGCCUUCGAUGGAUAGGGGUUCUGAGAGGAAGGUCCCCCACAUUGGAACUGAGACACGGUCCAAACUCCUACGGGAGGCAGCAUG
rnacentral:rRNA from 1 species